rnacentral:lncRNA from 1 species
CAGGAUACGUAGUGAGACACCUAUCUCAGUUUUCCUUUUUUUUAAUUUAAAUUUGUGCGUGUGGUGUAUACAGGCACACACAUGUGAGUAUACAUGUCCACGUGUGCCUAGCGACCAGAGGAGAACAUUAGGUGUUUCCUUCUGUCCUUCUCUGCCACAAGGCGCUGAACCUGGGGCUUGUGUUUCUGUUAGGCUGGUAGCAGCAAGCUCUCCCGACCCUGCUCUCUCUGCCCCACGGGGUCUUGCAGCCGCACCUGGCUCUUCAUGUGGCUGGAGAAGUAGCACAAGAGCUCAUGUUUGCAGCAUAAACGCCUAUCUGAGCCAUCUCCUCAGUUCCUGAUUUUUCUUGCUCCUUCCAAAAAAAGUGUUUUAAACAAUGUACAAAGGUCACUUUAAACAAUGCACUUCUGUUUUCCUGAUUUCCGAGCUUCGUAGAUGAAUGGUGUGUCAUACUGUAAGUCUGCUUGUAUGAAUUGCUUUUAUUCCCUUAGUGACGGGCUUUUAAAGGUCAAGUGUAUUAUACCAUGUUCCUAUAGUGUAGCCGUUUUCAAGGUUACAUAGUAUUCCAUCAAAUGGCUGGAAUACUAUUUAGCCACUCUCUUUUAUAUGGAAGCU